AGAGGAGGCGGUGCUAUAAUGCAAGUCGAGCGGACCGACGGGAGCUUGCUCCCUUAGGUCAGCGGCGGACGGGUGAGUAACACGUGGGUAACCUGCCUGUAAGACUGGGAUAACUCCGGGAAACCGGGGCUAAUACCGGAUGCUUGAUUGAACCGCAUGGUUCAAUCAUAAAAGGUGGCUUUCAGCUACCACUUGCAGAUGGACCCGCGGCGCAUUAGCUAGUUGGUGAGGUAACGGCUCACCAAGGCGACGAUGCGUAGCCGACCUGAGAGGGUGAUCGGCCACACUGGGACUGAGACACGGCCCAGACUCCUACGGGAGGCAGCAGUAGGGAAUCUUCCGCAAUGGACGAAAGUCUGACGGAGCAACGCCGCGUGAGUGAUGAAGGUUUUCGGAUCGUAAAACUCUGUUGUUAGGGAAGAACAAGUACCGUUCGAAUAGGGCGGUACCUUGACGGUACCUAACCAGAAAGCCACGGCUAACUACGUGCCAGCAGCCGCGGUAAUACGUAGGUGGCAAGCGUUGUCCGGAAUUAUUGGGCGUAAAGCGCGCGCAGGCGGUUUCUUAAGUCUGAUGUGAAAGCCCCCGGCUCAACCGGGGAGGGUCAUUGGAAACUGGGGAACUUGAGUGCAGAAGAGGAGAGUGGAAUUCCACGUGUAGCGGUGAAAUGCGUAGAGAUGUGGAGGAACACCAGUGGCGAAGGCGACUCUCUGGUCUGUAACUGACGCUGAGGCGCGAAAGCGUGGGGAGCGAACAGGAUUAGAUACCCUGGUAGUCCACGCCGUAAACGAUGAGUGCUAAGUGUUAGAGGGUUUCCGCCCUUUAGUGCUGCAGCAAACGCAUUAAGCACUCCGCCUGGGGAGUACGGUCGCAAGACUGAAACUCAAGGAAUUGACGGGGGCCCGCACAAGCGGUGGAGCAUGUGGUUUAAUUCGAAGCAACGCGAGAACCUUACCAGGUCUUGACAUCCUCUGACAA
rnacentral:rRNA from 1 species